rnacentral:lncRNA from 1 species
UUCAUAAUGCAGGCAAUAGAGAAUUGCAAGAUUUGUCAGAGAUUUCAGGUCUUUGGAAAGCUAUGCUCUUUCACAAGAACAGCCAUGGAAACAGGAAGAAAGUCAAUUCCCACUUAAGCUCCCUGUGGGUGGACUAAUUACUCACACAUCACACUUACUCUGGUGGUGAAAUGCCUCAAAAGAAGGUCUCCAGAGUGUUGCUCUACCUAGAAGGACAAGAAUGAAGAGACAUAAAAAUCAUUCAUUAAGAAGGAAGAAGAUUUUCCUUGCCUAGAUU